CUUUGGGAUUUUCUUACAGCGA
rnacentral:miRNA from 1 species